AAAUUCGGUUUUAAUUGUUUAAGACAUUUGUUCGACUACGAUUUGAUGAGUGGUGUAAAAUCAUUCUAACUUGAACGUUACAGUGUUUGCUGCUAUCCCAUUAGCAUCCAUUUGCGUAAAUCCUAGGUUCGAUUAGAGUGGCAGCCUAUUUUUGAAACAGACACACUUACCUCGCUUUGUCUAUUUGGAUGUUACAGUAGCGACAGACCAAGCCUCUAGUGGGAAUCGAAUCCAAGACCGCCGCACUUAAAAUCCAAGCACGCUACCAACUCGGCAAACGAGGCGACCCGUUAAAGCGUAAAAAGUGUUUGCGUACUCAAAAAUAUUUACAAAAUGUUUAAUGGAAAUCGUUCGUCACUUUAUGUGUCAGCGGAAAAGAGCGAGAAUGCGUGACAGCGAGCAAAAUUUUGAGUUUGGUAAUUGGGAGCUUGCAAAUUUCUGUGAGAGAAUUUUUCAUAACAGCAAUUUCAGUAAUGAAAGGAUGUUUUAUGAAAAUCAGCUAACAGACCGAAUAGAUCAAUUAUGGAUUGCUACCCAACCAAAGAUGCGUUUUCAACGGGUAAAUUUGUUGUUUUUAAUUGCGUACUUAUUUACAAUGUACUUAGUACCUUUAAUAUCACUGGUAUGAAUAAAACUGAAUAAAAUUUCAGCUCAGUUCAUAGGUAAAAAAACUUA
rnacentral:sRNA from 1 species